rnacentral:tRNA from 1 species
GGGGUUGUGGCUCAGCGGUAAAGCACUCACCUCUCACGUGUGAGACUUUGGAUUCGAUCCUCAGCACCACA